GGGCUCGUAGCUCAGYYGGUCAGAGCGCACGCCUGAUAAGCGUGAGGUCGGUGGUUCGAGUCCACCCGAGCCCA
rnacentral:tRNA from 1 species